CUGGCACUGCUUGAGGAAGACAAAAUAAAAUGGUCGAUCAUGUUCGAUCACCAGCUGAUAGGACUGACCAAGAUGGACAUGACAGGCGACGGCAACGAGGAGGUGGUCGUCUGCUCGUGGGACGGCCAGACGUACAUCGUCGACUACGAUCGCAAGGUCGUCCGCUUCCAGUUUGCCGAGAACGUGUGCGCGUUCAUAGCAGGUCAGUAUUCGACGACGAUGUGAAUAGUGCUGCUGUCUGG